GUCGAGCGGAUGAAAGGAGCUUGCUCCUGGAUUCAGCGGCGGGCGGGUGGGUGAGGAAGACGUGUGUGACCGACCUUGGGGGACAGAGAUUUUCCAGGAAACCUGGGACCAUACACAUCCUACUGGAUAAACUCGGGGAGAAUUAGGCCUUGACGGUUCCGACUGUCCUAAGUCGAAGGGCCCACUUCGUGAUGUAAUGGCUCACCAAGUAAAGCAUCCCUAACUGGUCUGACAGGAUGAUCCUGACACUGUGAUCUGACACACUGUCCCUGCACCUACGCCCAGCCUCCUACGGGAAUAUUGGACAAUGGGUCUUCCACUGUGGGCGCCAUGCUGAUGGAGUAACGAAGGUCUUCUGAUUGAGGAUUUCUUUUCGUAAAAAUGUAUGGUUGGGGAAUAACACUUUGGAUUUUUGACGUUCCGUUACUGCUUAACCCCUAUUAAAUAUGUGCCGGUAACUACGUUACUACAGCGCGGGGUAACGUAAGCAGGAUUUACUGAGCGUAAUCAUUGCGGCGGUGGUUUGGCGAGUGUGGUGUCUUCUCUGAUGCUCAAACCCCGCGAGCUCAUCCAAGACUGGCCAGCUUGAACAUGGAGAAGGGUAGUGUAAUAUACGAUGUGGACGUGAAAUGCGUUAGAUUUAUAGGCAACACCUGUGGAGAAGGUGACCUCUUGUAUUUACUCACUCAUGAUGCUGACAAUGAGGGGAGAAGAAACAGGAUUAGAUUACCUUGUUGUUCCGCCUGUAUACGAUGAUCACUAAGCGAUUAGGAGCAGGUCCUAGGUGGCGCACGCUAACGCAUUACAGUUAUCCGCCUGGGGAGUACGGCCGCAAGAUUAAAACUCAAAGGAAUUGACGGGGGCCCGCACAAGCGGUGGAGCAUGUUGUUUAAUUCGAAGCAACGCGAAGAACCUUACCAGGCCUUGACAUCCAAUNAACGUUUCCAAAAAAUUUGUGUCCCUUUGGGAGCAAAGAGACACAGGUGGCACAUGGUUGUUCACAUCGUGUGUUGAGAGAUUGGGUUAAGUCCCGUAAAAAGAGCAACCCCUGUCCUUUGUUACCCCCACGUUAUGGUGGGCACUCUAAGGAGACUGCCGGUGACAAACCGGAGGAAGGUGGGGAUGACGUCAAGUCAUCAUGGCCCUUACGGCCUGGGCUACACACGUGCUACAAUGGUCGGUACAGAGGGUUGCCAAGUCGCGAGGUGGAGCUAAUCCCACAAAACCGUUCGUAGUCCGGAUUGCAGUCUGCAACUCGGCUCCGUGAAGCCGGAAUCGCUAGUAAUCGCGCAUCAGCAUGUCGCGGUGAAUACGUUCCCGGGCCUUGUACACACCGCCCGUCACACCAUG
rnacentral:rRNA from 1 species